rnacentral:lncRNA from 1 species
UGAUGGUAAAUACCGAGUGUCGACUGGAUUGAAGGAUGCAAAGUAUUGAUCCUGGGUGUGUCUGUGAGGGUGUUGCCAAAGGAGGUUAACAUUUGAGUCAGUGGGCUGGGGAAGGCAGAUCCAACCUCAAUCUGGUGCGCCAUCUAAUAAGCUGCCAAUGAAUAUAAAGCAGGCAGAAAAACAUAAGAAGGUGAGACUGGCCUAGCCUCCCAGCCUGCAUCUUUCUCCCAUGCUGAAUGCUUCCUGUCCUCGAACAUCAGACUCCAAGUUCUUUAGUUUUGAGACUCGGACUGGCUUCCUUGCUCCUCAAGCUUGCAGACAGCCUAUUGUGGGACCUUGUGAUCAUAGAUCCUUGAUUAAUACAGAUGGGGUCCCACUAUGCUGCCCAGGCUGCUUUCAAACAGGGUCUUAACUCUGUCACCCAGGCUGGAGUGCAGUGGUGUGACCACAGCCACUGCAGGCUCAACCUCUGGGACUCAGGUGAUCCUCCCAUCUCAGCCUCCCAAGUAGCUGGGACUACAGGUUGCUUCUUCCAGAUCCCUUUUGAUCUACUUUCAGCUAUGGAUUCAUGAGAAUCAAGACUAAGCAGCCUGAAUUGAAGGAGUAACAGUAUCACCUAACAAUGAUUUUGCUGCCAUAGUAGCUGUUUGUAUACUGGCCAUAUGCCUAGGUAAAAUGAGGCCAGAUCACUCUCAAGAGUUUUCUAUCAGAGUUGGUGGUGAACUACUGCUCACGGAUAAUGACGAGAAACCCCAGCUGAGGAGGCAAAUAUACUCAAGGAAAGUAAUAGUUUCCAAAUGCCUGGCAGUGCCAGGAAGGGGCCAUGUCCAUGGACCACUAUGUAAGGAUAUCUCAGUCUCUAGUCCAGCGUGGUUUAUGGUGCCAAAUAAGUGCCAGGUGAACUCACUACAUCUGACAAAAUCUCAAGGAACCAAGUUUACCAGAUAAUAUUUAUGAUUAUGUGAAAAAGACUGAGGAAAUCACUCAAGUGAUCCAUCAUACAGCACCUCCAGUUCCAAAGAAUACUGACUUACUUCAGCUGUACUGGUCUGGAGCUGCACAUUCUUUUCAGACAACUCUUGUUCCAGUGACUCUUCUCCUGUAACAGAGCCUCCUUCUUAGAAACUAUGGCCUCCCGUUUCUUUAAGUCUGCUUCCAGCUCCUCUAAUUCUUGGCGUUGGUUCAGAACUUUCUCUACUUCUUCAUCUAACCAUUUCUUUUGCUCAUCCAAUUUCUACAUUAAAAUUAAAAAAAAAGUUACUUGUUUUUCCUUCUGCCAUAAAAAUUAUAUGGUAAUAAUAGAAUUUCAGAUUGGCUGAAAUCUCUUAAAUGAACAUUUAAAAACUAUCACUCAGAGUAACUCAGGUAGCCGUCUGAGAUCCUAAAGACAUCAGUGGUUCUAGUCAAGAUGUAGCUAUGUUGUUUUAUAAAGAAUUAAAAUUUACUCCCCAGAUAUGUUAAACAGUCUAGGAUUUUUUAGCCUGACGAAGAAAGGGCUGAUAAUUUUCUAUGCCUAUAUUAAGAACAUGCUGGAAUCUUUUACUCUGUUGUAGUGGUGCACAGUUCCAUCACAGCACUUACACUGGUGGCUGCCCUACGUAUCUAUCUCCCCAGCUUGAGCUCCUUGAUUGAUUGCAGGGGCUGUAGUUUUUACCCGUCUAUCCACAUGGCUGGUAUAUUGCCUGGGCCACAGUAGGCAUUCAAUAAAAUGUUAAAUGAAUGAGUGAAUGAAUGCCUGAUUCAGUCAGUCAAUGAAGUGAAUAAAUGAAUACACACAGUGGAAGACACAGAUGAUGGAGGAUGGAAGGAAAGCCAAUUUGCAUUGUAGCUUGUCAACCUCAAAUAAUUAUUUUUAAAAAAGAAAAAAAACAAAAAUAAAAAAUUGCUGAAAAGAUCUCCAAAACAA